rnacentral:piRNA from 1 species
UGCUCUGCAUCGCUGUCUAAGCUGGGUCC